AAAAAAGAGAGAAUGAAAAGGCUUUCAGAAAUGACCACUUACACAUUAAAUGACCAUAUCAGUUAUUUAAAAGGUAACCAUGACACCCCACACGAUACAAUAUCCCAUCAUGCUAAGUGGUCAUAACUUGGUAUUUAAAUAAUAAAGUAUCACUGGUAACAAAGAGCACUACAAAUUAUAAUGACCUGUUUUUUAUUACAUGCCCCCUCACAGAAUGAAAGUCUGUAACAAGUUCCACAGGUUUGGCAUUUGAACCCGGCAGACUAUUCAUUAUCAUGUUUGGAGCUACUGGGCUAGUUUGCUGUAGAGUUCACAGAGUUAAUCUAAUAACCAGAUCUGGUGGAACUUUCAACGUAACGGAGAUGUGUGGUGAGUGAACCUGCAAAGAUGUAAAAUUAAAGCAUAAAUUCUCCUAUUCAAACUGCAAGUUUACUUGGUCUAACUUUAUCUAGACUAACAACUCAAUAGUCAACUCACCAAAAGUUGAGUGAUUUCUGCCUUAAUUCAAACAAAUUAUGAUUGAGUGGAUUUGAGUUUUAAAUCCUAAUUAUAAAAAUGAAUAGGGCACUGAAUGCUGAUACUGAGCCUUUCUUAGUUUUAUCUAUAUAAUAAUGAGAUAAAAUAUCAGGCAUCCCAAUACACCCAAUUCUGGGGUCCUGUCUCAUCAUCCUGAUUUUGUUCCCUGGUAUCCCAGCUAUUGUGAGCGUUCCUUGUGACACAAGUUGGUUCACAAGUGAUGCACUCUCAAGACCCACCCACAUGUCCAGAUCAGAUACUUCACAAUGUACCAAUGUAGGGAGCUAUAAAAUAUAUGAAACCAACAAUAGCAACAUAAUGAAUGGUAAAAAUAACACUUAUAAUACUAAUUGAUUGUGUUAAUGGACACACCAGGUUAGGAGGGAGUGAGAGGAAGGGAGCUGUACACAGGUACAUUAACCAACCUAGAGAAAGUAUUUUAAAAUGGAAGAGGUGGAAAAGUGGAGGCAGGGUUAACCUGCAAAAGGUUGCACAAAAUUCAUUAAUUAAAAAAAAGAAAAGCAAUCAAAAUUAGGCAAGAAAAAAAAAUAUAUGUGAUUAUUUUGGCCAAAAACCACAAAAUGCAAAAAGAUUGUAUGGUGUCUAGCGUGUGCCUUUGAACUUGGAAUUUAGAGACUCCAUAAAGUAUCAAAAAAGUCAGACAAUGAAUUGACAAAACAAUGCGUUAAGGAGCAAAGUCUACACUCAGUUAGAUGGUUGAUGUGGAAAUAGAAUGCUAGCUUGCCUUUGUUGGUUUGUCUUCGAAACGGAUGCAUUUUAACAGCUAUAACAUAUAGGAAGUCGAACAGGAUACCUAUACCAUGAUGCUUUAAACACUCUAUCGGUAGUCUACAUCAAACAAUUCUAUUUGGACAGCAUGAUAAUACGAUACAGCUAUAUCAAAAAUUCCCUUUAAACCUGACUUGGAGUGGGACAUAAUUUAAAUAAUUUAAUUUUAAGAAUUUAUAAAGCAAAAAAUAGGACAUAUGAAAUCUACCGUAUACAUUGUUUGCUUUGUUUUCUCUCAUAUUUUUUUUUUAAACAAUAACCAACAUAGAACAACCAAAUAGAUUAAAACACAAAAAGAAAAUAUUAAUAUUUAAAAAUUUGCAACUCUGAUA
rnacentral:lncRNA from 1 species